AGCGAACGCUGGCGGCAGGCUUAACACAUGCAAGUCGAGCGGGCGUAGCAAUACGUCAGCGGCAGACGGGUGAGUAACGCGUGGGAACAUACCUUUUGGUUCGGAACAACACAGGGAAACUUGUGCUAAUACCGGAUAAGCCCUUACGGGGAAAGAUUUAUCGCCGAAAGAUUGGCCCGCGUCUGAUUAGCUAGUUGGUGAGGUAAUGGCUCACCAAGGCGACGAUCAGUAGCUGGUCUGAGAGGAUGAUCAGCAUCACUGGGACUGAGACACGGCCCAGACUCCUACGGGAGGCAGCAGUGGGGAAUAUUGGACAAUGGGCGCAAGCCUGAUCCAGCCACGCCGCGUGAGUGAUGAA
rnacentral:rRNA from 1 species